rnacentral:rRNA from 1 species
GUGGCGAACGGGUGAGUAACACGUGGGCAAUCUGCCCUUCACUCUGGGACAAGCCCUGGAAACGGGGUCUAAUACCGGAUACGACUACUGAGGGCAUCCUUGGUGGUGGAAAGCUCCGGCGGUGAAGGAUGAGCCCGCGGCCUAUCAGCUUGUUGGUGAGGUAACGGCUCACCAAGGCGACGACGGGUAGCCGGCCUGAGAGGGCGACCGGCCACACUGGGACUGAGACACGGCCCAGACUCCUACGGGAGGCAGCAGUGGGGAAUAUUGCACAAUGGGCGAAAGCCUGAUGCAGCGACGCCGCGUGAGGGAUGACGGCCUUCGGGUUGUAAACCUCUUUCAGCAGGGAAGAAGCGAAAGUGACGGUACCUGCAGAAGAAGCGCCGGCUAACUACGUGCCAGCAGCCGCGGUAAUACGUAGGGCGCAAGCGUUGUCCGGAAUUAUUGGGCGUAAAGAGCUCGUAGGCGGCUUGUCACGUCGAUUGUGAAAGCCCGAGGCUUAACCUCGGGUCUGCAGUCGAUACGGGCUAGCUAGAGUGUGGUAGGGGAGAUCGGAAUUCCUGGUGUAGCGGUGAAAUGCGCAGAUAUCAGGAGGAACACCGGUGGCGAAGGCGGAUCUCUGGGCCAUUACUGACGCUGAGGAGCGAAAGCGUGGGGAGCGAACAGGAUUAGAUACCCUGGUAGUCCACGCCGUAAACGGUGGGAACUAGGUGUUGGCGACAUUCCACGUCGUCGGUGCCGCAGCUAACGCA